rnacentral:lncRNA from 10 species
GUUUUCAACUAUUUUCUAAUUUUCAACAAGAGUGAGCUUGUACAUACCACACUAACCCAAAGAGGGGAGGCAGAAAAAGACAUCAGCAACGGUCUUUGGAGUUUGGCCUACUGGCUGCCACCCUAAAGUGGGAGAUAAAACUCUGGAAUCUAUCUUGUAUCUGUUGGCCAAAAACCUUAAUGUCAUCAUUAACUCUUCCUUCUCUUACACUCCACAUUCAAACUCUCAGCAAAUCCUAUUGGCUCUUUUCAAAAUAAAUCUAGAUAUUUGACCACUGCUGUUGCUGUGGCCCAGGCCCAAGCCUG